CGGAGAGGGCGCAUGAGAAACGCCUACCACAUCCAAGGAAGGCAGCAGGCGCGCAAAUUACCCAAUCCCGACACGGGGAGGUAGUGACAAUAUGUAACAAUAUACGGCUUUAUUGUCGUAUAAUUGGAAUGAGUACAAUUUAAAUCCCUUAACGAGGAACAAUUGGAGGGCAAGUCUGGUGCCAGCAGCCGCGGUAAUUCCAGCUCCAAUAGCGUAUAUUAAAGUUGUUGCAGUUAAAAAGCUCGUAGUUGGACCUUGGGCCUGGACAGGCGGUCCGCCUCACGGCGUGUACUGUCUUGCUGGGCCUUUCCUCUUGGUGAUCUGUGGUUUCGGCCGCAGGGAACCAGGACCUUUACUUUGAAAAAAUUAGAGUGUUCAAAGCAGGCUUUACGCCAGAAUAUAUUAGCAUGGAAUAAUAAAAUAGGACGUGCGGUUCUAUUUUGUUGGUUUUUGGGAUCGCCGUAAUGAUUAAUAGGGACAGUCGGGGGCAUUAGUACUCACAUGCUAGAGGUGAAAUUCUUGGAUUUUGUGAAGACUAACUUCUGCGAAAGCAUUUGCCAAGGAUGUUUUCAUUAAUCAAGAACGAAGGUUAGGGUAUCGAAAACGAUUAUAUACCGUUGUAGUCUUAUCAGUAAACUAUGCCGACUAGGGAUCGGUCGAUGUUAUUUUCUUGACUCGAUCG
rnacentral:rRNA from 1 species